rnacentral:rRNA from 1 species
AACGAACGCUGGCGGCAUGCCUAAUACAUGCAAGUCGAACGAACUCUUCGGAGUUAGUGGCGCACGGGUGCGUAACGCGUGGGAAUCUGCCCCUUGGUUCGGAAUAACAGUUGGAAACGACUGCUAAUACCGGAUGAUGACGAAAGUCCAAAGAUUUAUCGCCAAGGGAUGAGCCCGCGUAGGAUUAGCUAGUUGGUGAGGUAAAGCUCACCAAGGCAACGAU